rnacentral:rRNA from 2 species
GUUAACUGAACCUUCGGGGAACGUUAACGGCGUCGAGCGGCGGACGGGUGAGUAAUGCCUGGGAAAUUGCCCUGAUGUGGGGGAUAACCAUUGGAAACGAUGGCUAAUACCGCAUAAUAGCUUCGGCUCAAAGAGGGGGACCUUCGGGCCUCUCGCGUCAGGAUAUGCCCAGGUGGGAUUAGCUAGUUGGUGAGGUAAUGGCUCACCAAGGCGACGAUCCCUAGCUGGUCUGAGAGGAUGAUCAGCCACACUGGAACUGAGACACGGUCCAGACUCCUACGGGAGGCAGCAGUGGGGAAUAUUGCACAAUGGGCGCAAGCCUGAUGCAGCCAUGCCGCGUGUAUGAAGAAGGCCUUCGGGUUGUAAAGUACUUUCAGCAGUGAGGAAGGUGGGUAUGUUAAUAGCAUACUCAUUUGACGUUAGCUGCAGAAGAAGCACCGGCUAACUCCGUGCCAGCAGCCGCGGUAAUACGGAGGGUGCGAGCGUUAAUCGGAAUUACUGGGCGUAAAGCGCA